UAUAAUGGGUCAGCGACUUAUAUUCUGUAGCAAGGUUAACCGUAUAGGGGAGCCGCAGGGAAACCGAGUCUUAACUGGGCGUUAAGUUGCAGGGUAUAGACCCGAAACCCGGUGAUCUAGCCAUGGGCAGGUUGAAGGUUGGGUAACACUAACUGGAGGACCGAACCGACUAAUGUUGAAAAAUUAGCGGAUGACUUGUGGCUGGGGGUGAAAGGCCAAUCAAACCGGGAGAUAGCUGGUUCUCCCCGAAAGCUAUUUAGGUAGCGCCUCGUGAACUCAUCUUCGGGGGUAGAGCACUGUUUCGGCUAGGGGGUCAUCCCGACUUACCAACCCGAUGCAAACUACGAAUACCGAAGAAUGUUAUCACGGGAGACACACGGCGGGUGCUAACGUCCGUCGUGAAGAGGGAAACAACCCAGACCGCCAGCUAAGGUCCCAAAGUCAUGGUUAAGUGGGAAACGAUGUGGGAAGGCACAGACAGCCAGGAUGUUGGCUUAGAAGCAGCCAUCAUUUAAAGAAAGCGUAAUAGCUCACUGGUCGAGUCGGCCUGCGCGGAAGAUGUAACGGGGCUAAACCAUGCACCGAAGCUGCGGCAGCGACACUAUGUGUUGUUGGGUAGGGGAGCGUUCUGUAAGCCUGCGAAGGUGACCUGUGAGGGUUGCUGGAGGUAUCAGAAGUGCGAAUGCUGACAUAAGUAACGAUAAAGCGGGUGAAAAGCCCGCUCGCCGGAAGACCAAGGGUUCCUGUCCAACGUUAAUCGGGGCAGGGUGAGUCGACCCCUAAGGCGAGGCCGAAAGGCGUAGUCGAUGGGAAACAGGUUAAUAUUCCUGUACUUGGUGUUACUGCGAAGGGGGGACGGAGAAGGCUAUGUUAGCCGGGCGACGGUUGUC
rnacentral:rRNA from 1 species